UAUAUAGGGGGUUGCCAGGAAGGUAUCGCAUCCGCCUAGCAGCUCCAAGGUCCGUGGUUCGAUUCCACGGAGGUUCCCGAUGUCCUGGGCUUCCAAUCUUCCACGUCUGCCAGUCGGGUCGAGAAACUUCCCCAUUACGAAGUAAUGGGACGGAUAUUUUGGCAAUGUUUAAUAUAAUAUCCAAUAAAAAAUCUUAAUAAAUUGUUUAUUUUGAUUUAUCGGUGUGAAUGCGUAUUUUGUUACUUGAACACUUUACAACGUACUUUAGCCAUUGGCAUCCUCUGUCGAGAUAUCUCACACAUACUGCUUGAUCAAUAUUUUGUGUAUAUAAGAUUGUAACAUAUAGUCACUCAACUGAAUCUUUUAAUCAUCGUAGUAUUUCUUUCGGCUCUUGUAGGAUUUGAACCCUUAAAUUUCGGCGGUCCAUGCCGAUGCUCUACCACUGAGCCAUAAUUCACAUUAGUAAGUUUUCUAUAUUUUCGUGUUAAUUGAGAUCAACAAAUGUGGACUUAGAAUAAUAUUUGCAGCGUGAUUCAAGAUAAUUUCUUAUUAACAUGUAAAUCCAUCUUAUAGAAAUGCAAUGAAAUUGACAUUCACAUUAAAUUUAUUAACCUUCUGCCGGGAGUUGAACCCGAUACCUUUAGAUCCAUUAUCCAACGUUCUACCAAACAGCUAUGAUCCUUGAAUGCAAGUUAUUCAGGAUUGGAAUUUAAUCGGCGAUAAUUCAAGGACACUCCGGAAUUCUCAGUACAAAAACUGCACAUCAGUGGCCAUCUCAGCAAUGUUGAGAGUCCAAUCCUUAAAA